rnacentral:rRNA from 1 species
UAAACGUCUCAGUUCGGAUUGUAGUCUGCAACUCGACUACAUGAAGCUGGAAUCGCUAGUAAUCGCGAAUCAGAAUGUCGCGGUGAAUACGUUCCCGGGUCUUGUACACACCGCCCGUCACACCAUGGGAGUCAGUAACGCCCGAAGCCGGUGACCUAACCGAAAGGGAGGAGCCGUCGAAGGUGGGACCGAUAACUGGGGUGAAGUCGUAACAAGGUACC